rnacentral:rRNA from 1 species
GACGAACGCUGGCGGCGCGCUUAACACAUGCAAGUCGAGCGAAGCGGCGGACGGGUGAGUAACACGUGAGUAACCUGCCUGAGACAUGGGGAUCGCCUCCGGAAACCGGGAUUAAUACCAAAUGGUCUAAGAUGGACUCGCGUCCCAUUAGCUAUGUGGUGAGGUAACGGCCCACCAAGGCGACGUUGGGUAGCCGGCAUGAGAUGGGGGGCGGCCACAUUGGAACUGAGAAACGGUCCAAACUCUACGGGAGGCAGCAUUGGGGAAUAUUGCACAAUGGAGGGAACUCUGAUGCAGCGACGCCGCGUGAACGAAGAAGGCUUUCGAGUCGUAAAGUUCUUUUAUAUGGGAAGCGGUACCAUAAGAAAAAGCCCCGGCUAACUACGUGCCAGCAGCCGCGGUAAUUC